GUGGAUUUAGAGUCAGCAGUCCCUUUCCAGAGUAACUCACAGUUGCUGGUUUCCAUUAGAUGCUUUUAGUCAUGGAAUCUCAGAGAAGUAAGGGAUUUAAGGAUCAUAAUUCUAUUUACUACUUUUUUGAGUGUGUGUGAUUUUUCACAUGAGAAUCCUCAAAUACACAUCGAGAAGAAAGCAAAAUAGACUUGAGAGUCAUAUUUGAAUUUUAUUUCCAAGACUGUCAUUACGUCUUUUUCCCUUCUGGUUAAGUGCAUCUCUGGGGGAUCUUCCCAUCCCAGGGAUCGAACCCAGGUCUCAGACAUUGCAGGCGGAUUCUUUACCAGCUGAGCCUGAGAGGUAAACUUCUAAUUAAGUGUGAAGAACUGGAGCACAAAGGAAUGCUUGAAAUGCAGUUUGUUAUUUGGGAAAUAGAGUUGAACCUGACAAAAAUUCUAGGAACAGG
ensembl:lncRNA